GAAGCGGCAACAGCUCAAAUUUGAAAUCUGGCGCAAGCCCGAGUUGUAAUUUGUAGAGGAUGCUUCUGGGUAGCGACCGGUCUAAGUUCCUUGGAACAGGACGUCAUAGAGGGUGAGAAUCCCGUAUGUGACCGGCCCGCACCCUGCACGUAGCUCCUUCGACGAGUCGAGUUGUUUGGGAAUGCAGCUCUAAAUGGGAGGUAAAUUUCUUCUAAAGCUAAAUACCGGCCAGAGACCGAUAGCGCACAAGUAGAGUGAUCGAAAGAUGAAAAGUACUUUGGAAAGAGAGUUAAAAAGCACGUGAAAUUGUUGAAAGGGAAGCGCCUGCAAUCAGACUUCGCGGCAGUGUUCCGUCGGUCUUCUGACCGGCUCACUCUCUGUCGCGAGGCCAUCAUCGUCUCGGCCCGCUGGAUAAGACCUUGGGAAUGUAGCUCACCUUCGGGGGAGUGUUAUAGCUCAUGGUGAUGCAGCGCGGCUGGGGCGAGGUCCGCGCUUCGGCAAGGAUGAUGGCGUAAUGGUUGUCGGCGGCCCGUCUUGAAACACGGACCAAGGAGUCUAACAUCUAUGCGAGUGUUCGGGUGUCAAACCCCUACGCGUAAUGAAAGUGAACGGAGGUGGGAACCGCAAGGUGCACCAUCGACCGAUCCUGAUGUCCUCGGAUGGAUUUGAGUAAGAGCAUAGCUGUUGGGACCCGAAAGAUGGUGAACUAUGCCUGAAUAGGGUGAAGCCAGAGGAAACUCUGGUGGA
rnacentral:rRNA from 1 species